AUGCGAUUGCAGCCCCUCCAGCAUGGAGGAUGUUUUUCGUGCUUCUUCCCGGAGGGCCUCGAUCUUCUUCUUUUUCCCGGCAACCUCCUCCUCCAGUUUACCUGCGUGGGUUUCAAGCUCUGUUUUGAUUGCAGAAGUGGCGGCAAGAUUAUUAGAGAUUUCCUUCAGUUUGGCGGCCGCAUCAUGAGCCUGCAAGUUGAUGGCCCUCUUGUGGCUGUCCUCCAGAUGCUUGGUGUGCUGCUGAACAAGGCUUUCCAGCUCAUUAUCCUUGGCACAGAUAGCGGCGGCCAAAGCCUGCUCCCGAGAGGCAAGAUCCUUGGCUUGGGUGUUGGGCAGCGUCUCGUGCUCCUUCAGCAUGGCAUCGUCCGGCAGCCAUCGACUCCAGAAAUGCCAAUUCCUUGGAGCUGUCACCCGGGUCAAUCACUUCCGUCGUCCUCUGGGUCAAGGGGGCAGUAUGCAGCAGAUUUCUUCAUCAAAAUUCACCCCGGCAAUGACUGA
rnacentral:rRNA from 1 species